UACGUAGGUGGCGAGCGUUGUCCGGAUUUAUUGGGUUUAAAGGGUGCGUAGGCGGCUUUGUAAGUCAGUGGUGAAAUACUCCAGCUUAACUGGAGGGGUGCCAUUGAUACUGCGGAGCUUGAGUACAGAUGAGGUAGGCGGAAUUGACGGUGUAGCGGUGAAAUGCAUAGAUAUCGUCAAGAACACCGAUAGCGAAGGCAGCUUACUGGGCUGUAACUGACGCUGAGGCACGAAAGCGUGGGGAGCAAACAGG
rnacentral:rRNA from 1 species